rnacentral:rRNA from 1 species
GUCCACGCCGUAACGUUGGGCGCUAGGUGUGGGGCCAUUCCACGGUCUCUGUGCCGUAGCUAACGCAUUAAGCGCCCCGCCUGGGGAGUACGGCCGCAAGGCUAAACUCAAAGGAAUUGACGGGGCCCGCACAAGCGGCGGAGCAUGUGGAUUAAUUCGAUGCAACGCGAAGAACCUUACCUGGGUUUGACAUGCACCAGACGCGUCUAGAGAUAGGCGUUCCCUUGUGGUUGGUGUGCAGGUGGUGCAUGGCUGUCGU